AAAUUCCGAUGGUUAGAGAUGGGCAUGCGUUGUAUUAGCUAGUUGGUGAGGUAACGGCUCACCAAGGCUACGAUACAUAGGGGGACUGAGAGGUUUUCCCCCCACACUGGUACUGAGACACGGACCAGACUCCUACGGGAGGCAGCAGUGAGGAAUAUUGGUCAAUGGACGCAAGUCUGAACCAGCCAUGCCGCGUGCAGGAUGAAGGUGCUAUGCAUUGUAAACUGCUUUUGUACGAGGGUAAAUGCAGGUACGUGUACCUGUUUGAAAGUAUCGUACGAAUAAGGGUCGGCUAACUCCGUGCCAGCAGCCGCGGUAAUACGGAGGACCCGAGCGUUAUCCGGAUUUAUUGGGUUUAAAGGGUGCGUAGGCGGAUUAGUAAGUUAGAGGUGAAAGCUCGAUGCUCAACAUCGAAAUUGCCUCUGAUACUGUUAGUCUAGAGUAUAGUUGCGGAAGGCGGAAUGUGUGGUGUAGCGGUGAAAUGCUUAGAUAUCACACAGAACACCGAUUGCGAAGGCAGCUUUCCAAGCUAUUACUGACGCUGAUGCACGAAAGCGUGGGGAGCGAACAGGAUUAGAUACCCUGGUAGUCCACGCCGUAAACGAUGAUAACUCGUUGCAGGCGAUACACAGUCUGUGACUUAGCGAAAGCGUUAAGUUAUCCACCUGGGGAGUAC
rnacentral:rRNA from 1 species